rnacentral:rRNA from 1 species
AYGUCUAAAGAUCAAACCUAUGGUGAAUUUGCGAACGGCUCAUUAAAACAGCUAUAAUCUACUCGAUUUUGAUCCUWAAACGGAUAACUGCGCUAAAUUGUGGAGCUAAUACGUGCACCAAAGCCCGAAUCGGGCGCACUUUAUUAGAUCAAGACCAAUCGGGGCAACCCGUUUUUGGUGACUCUGAAUAAUUACGCUGAUCGCAUGGUCUAGCACCGGCGACGUAUCGUUCGAGUGUCUGCCUUAUCAACUGUCGAUGGAAGUCCAUGUGACUACCAUGGUUGUAACGGGUAACGGAGAAUAAGGGUUCGACUCCGGAGAGGGAGCCUGAGAAACGGCUACCACAUCCAAGGAAGGCAGCAGGCGCGUAAAUUACCCACUCUCAAUGCGAGGAGGUAGUAACAAUCAAUAACGAGACAGUUCUCUAUGAGGCCUGUUAUCGGAAUGGGUACAAUUUAAACCCUUUAACGAGGAUCUAUGAGAGGGCAAGUCUGGUGCCAGCAGCCGCGGUAAUUCCAGCUCUCAAGGUGUAUAUCGUCAUUGCUGCGGUUAAAAAGCUCGUAGUUGGAUCUGAGUCUGUGGAGGCGGUGCACCAUGUGUGUAACUGCAAUCCCGGACUGUUUUGUUGGUUUUCUGCAGUUUGCUUUAAUCGGUAGGCUGUAGUGGCUGACACGUUUACCUUGAAUAAAUCAGAGUGCUCAAGACAAGCGUUUCGCUUGAAUAUUCGUGCAUGGAAUAAUGGAACAGGACUUCGGUUCGUUCUAUUGGUCUUAGAACCGAUGUAAUGGUUAAGAGGGACAGACGGGGGCAUCCGUAUCGCUGCGUGAGAGGUGAAAUUCUUGGGACCGCAGCGGGGACGUCCAACUG